rnacentral:lncRNA from 1 species
UUUUAUCUAAAUUUUCUAAGGUUUUUUCUAUCCAUAUUAAUUUUUCUUUUAGGUCUUCCAUUAUUUUCCUAAUUCGGUUUCUAUAAUUAAUUUCAUUAUUUAGAUUUUCUUGAUUUUCUCUAGUUUGUCUAAUAUAUUCUAACAUUUUUUAAUCUGAAUAAUAUCCUUCUGGGUAAAUUUCUUCGUAUAACUGUUCUAGACAAUUUAUAGUUUCAAUUUCGUAGUCUAUUACUUUUUCUAAUAUUAUUUUCUUAAUAUCUAUUAUUUCUAUAUCUUUGUAGUGAGUUUUUUAAAUUAUAUAAACUAUCACAUGUACUUUUAUCUAAAUUUUCUAAGGUUUUUUCUAUCCAUAUUAAUUUUUCUUUUAGGUCUUUCAUUAUUUGUCUAAUUCGGUUUCUAUAAUUAAUUUCAUUAUUUAGAUUUUCUUGAUUUUCUCUAGUUUGUCUAAUAUAUUCUAACAUUUUUUAAUCUGAAUAAUAUCCUUCUGGGUAAAUUUCUUCGUAUAACUGUUCUAGAUAAUUUAUAGUUUCAAUUUCGUAGUCUAUUACUUUUUCUAAUAUUAUUUUCUUAAUAUCUAUAAUUUCUAUGUUUUUAAGUAUAUAUAAUAUUAAAAUUUUAAGAUAAUCUAAAUGAUCUAUUUUUUAAAAUUGUUUUGUAGCUGUUUGUUUUAGUCUUAGUAGUUUUUGCAUAUUUUUAUUAAGAAAUUUUAUAUCUUUAUUUCCUAUGUAUUUUUCUAUAUUUAUUUUUAUCUGUUUUUCUAGUAACUGCAUAUUUUCUAAAAAUUUUAUGUAACUUAUCAUCGUAAAUAUUUGUAAGAGUAGUUAGGUAGAUAUGGUAUAUAAUUUACUCUAGUCAUGUAAUAUUCACCAAAAGCUUUUUCUAAUAUGAUUUUUCUUAUAUCUGCUACUUUUAUAUUUCUAAGUGCAUACAAAAUAAGUAUUUUGAAUUUAUCUACCAUCACAUCAGAUAUAUUAUCAUUCAUUUUCAUAAAUUUGCUUUUUUCAAAAUAUUCCCUUCAACCAUGUACAUAAAAUAUAGUCAUCUUAGCUUACUA